rnacentral:rRNA from 1 species
AACGAACGCUGGCGGCAGGCUUAACACAUGCAAGUCGAGCGCAUCCUUCGGGGUGAGCGGCAGACGGGUGAGUAACGCGUGGGAACAUACCCUUUCCUACGGAAUAGCUCCGGGAAACUGGAAUUAAUACCGUAUACGCCCUUAGGGGGAAAGAUUUAUCGGGGAAGGAUCGGCCCGCGUUGGAUUAGCUAGUUGGUGGGGUAAAGGCCUACCAAGGCGACGAUCCAUAGCUGGUCUGAGAGGAUGAUCAGCCACAUUGGGACUGAGACACGGCCCAAACUCCUACGGGAGGCAGCAGUGGGGAAUAUUGGACAAUGGGCGCAAGCCUGAUCCAGCCAUGCCGCGUGAGUGAUGAAGGCCUUAGGGUUGUAAAGUGCUUUUGCUGUCGACAAAUUUCUGAUGGUAGACAGCGAAUAAGAGGUUGCUAACUCUGUGCCAGCCGCCGCGGUAA